AUGACUCUCGGCAACGGAUAUCUCGGCUCUCGCAUCGAUGAAGAACGUAGCGAAAUGCGAUACCUGGUGUGAAUUGCAGAAUCCCGCGAACCAUCGAGUCUUUGAACGCAAGUUGCGCCCGAGGCCAUUCGGCCGAGGGCACGCCUGCCUGGGCGUCACGC
rnacentral:rRNA from 3 species